GUUUGCUUUGACAACACAGACUAAAAUUGGAACAUUACAUAGAAGGUUAGUAUGGACUCUGUACAAGGAUAAUGUACAUUUUUGAAGCAUUCAGUAUAUUUUU